rnacentral:lncRNA from 10 species
AGCAGCUGCCUCUGGGUGGUGGCAGAGAUGCCCAUGUCUAGGACCUCCAGGCCUUAACUAAUCAGGGGCACUGAUGAAGCCAGCGGGGCUCCACUGGGGACCACAGGCAAGACUGGGCCAGGACGAGGCGGUCACGCAGAGAAAGAAGAUAAAAGGGAACAGAAGAGAAAAUUCAAAAGGAGCACGGGCCUCCCCGGGAGUGGGCUUCAGCCUCCCUAGACUCCUGUCUCCUUCCAAGGGCUAGGCCUGGGGGACCAGAAGCAAGAGUCCCUAGAGCGUCCAAGAUUUUUGGUUUCAAACCAAUUUCCUGCUGACCAGAAUGAAAUGGAGCCACAUUCCAGCACGAUGCACCUGCUGACCUCCUGCAAGUCAGGGACCUUCUCUGCCCCUCUUUUGCUCUGCUGCAGGAGGGAGAAGCUGGGAAUGUGUUCCUCUGGGGUCCCAUCACCUCCAGCCAGCCACUGUCCCUGUCUCCCCAAAACCUCCUCGUUGUCCCUCCUCUGUCCUCCUCCUCCUCCAUCUGCCUUCGCCCUGCUCUCCUCUUUUUCGCCUGAGGUUCGUGCUGCCUCCUCACCUCUUGUCCUGUUUCUCCCUUCUCUCUGCUCCCUCCUUUGAUCUUGCUAUUUUGCUUCUCUUUCCCUUCCUCUCUUCUCCUCCCUCCCCUUCCUCCCUGCUCCCUGCCUCAGCUUCUCAGUCUCUCUCCGUUCUUCCUCUAGCUUCCUUCCCUCCCCAGAAGACCCAGCCCUUCCUAGAGCCCCAGAAGCCAGGGUUCAUGCCCCAGCUCUCUACCCACACAUGCUGUGCAACCCUGGGCCAGUCACUGGUCUCUUGGGCCUCAGUUCAACAGAUGG